GAACACCACCCAGUGUGGAGAAGCCCAGCCAAGCACUGUCAGGAAUCCUGUGAAGCAGCUCCAGCUAUGUGUGAAGAAGAGGACAGCACUGCCUUGGUGUGUGACAAUGGUUCUGGGCUCUGUAAGGCCGGCUUUGCUGGGGAUGAUGCUCCCAGGGCUGUUUUCCCAUCCAUCGUGGGACGUCCCAGACAUCAGGUGAGGAAAAUUAUGAUUGGAACAUAAAAGGACACAGAUUAGGUUCCUCUGUGUCCACGUUUAUCCACAGAUUGUCUAUCUCUUUCUGCCCAGAAGUUAUGUAACCUUGUUAAAAAUAUACCUCUGAUGAUUAAGGUCCAGGAGUAAAUGCCAAUUUCACAUACAAUGUAGACAGAUUAUCUGAUGGGCGUCUAUCAGAUACAAAGUCUGCCCCUUUUUCAUGUGUCCUUGUUGUCUAAAUAUAGUCACUAUCAUCAUCAUCAUCAUCAAAAUCAUUUCAUCACCAUCAGAAAUGCUUAUACAUUAUCCUGAUGUAUACGAAAGCUACUGUUUGGAAAGAAACUAAAAUAAAAGUCAGGUCACUUAACCACACAGAGCUGAUGUUAGAUGAAAGCAAGCAUUGAUACCAAAUGCAAUUUUACAUAAUAUUAGCUGUCAACAAAAUAUAUUUGGACAGCCACAUGGUAAUUUUACACAUUAUGUGUAAACAAGGUAUUGGUGGCAUCAUAUGGUAAAAACUCGGUAAUUUCAUCUCAGAAAUUCUCCUUCACAUCAGAAA
rnacentral:sRNA from 1 species